rnacentral:rRNA from 1 species
UACAGAGGUCCCAAGCGUUGUUCGGAUUCAUUGGGCGUAAAGGGUGCGUAGGCGGCGCGGUAAGUCGGGUGUGAAAUCUCGGGGGCUUAACUCCGAAACUGCAUUCGAUACUGCCGUGCUUGAGGACUGGAGAGGAGACUGGAAUUUACGGUGUAGCGGUGAAAUGCGUAGAUAUCGUAAGGAAGACCAGUGGCGAAGGCGGGUCUCUGGACAGUUCCUGACGCUGAGGCACGAAGGUCAGGGGAGCAAACGGG